AGAAAACUUGUCAGGUGAGUAGUAAUCUUCUAUGAAAGCAAAUUUAAUUUUAAUGCUGGGGAGAGGGCUCUGUGGGUAAAGUUCUUGCCACAUGAACAGAGACCUGAGUUCAGACCCCCAGUACCCAUGUUAGAAGCUGGGUAUUGGUCCAUGUCUGGGAAGCAGAGCCUGGUAGAUCCCUGAAGUGAGCUUCAGGCUCACUGAGGGACCCUGUUCCAAAAAAAGAAAGAAAGAAUAGAAUAAAUAAAAUGAGGGGUGUGCUGGUUGGGUUUUUUCAAUGUUACACAAACCUAGAUCUAUCUGGGAGGAGGGCAUCUCAGUUGAGUAAUGUUUCCAUAACGUUGCAAUGCAGGGAUGCUUGUAGGGCACUUUCUCAAUCAGUGAUUGAUGUGGGAGGGCCCAGCCGGUUCUGGAUGGUGCCACGCCAGGGCUAAGAAAGCAGGCAGUGCAGCCCACAGGGUGCAAGCCAGUAAGCUUCCUGCUUCCAGAUUCCUGCCCAGACUUCACUGGAUCAUGGACCAGCUGUAAGCCUUCGCAGUUUCUCACUUGUAAAAUGGAGCCAAUAGUAUUCACCUCUCAAAGUGUGCGGCUCUACGAGAAAACAGCCCGUGAGGCUCCAGCGCAUGCGUGCUGACACAUUCCAACAGCGAAGGCGUCUUAGCUGUCUCUUCUCUCUCCUCCAGUGAAAUAGAGCAGAUAAUAGCCAUUCUAAAGAACCUAAGUUCUCUUUAAAUUCUAAGCAUUACAUCAGAAAGAGAGAACCUGAAAACAUCCCCCACUUUUUUUCUUUUUAAAAAGAAUCCGAUUUGGGAGACUUAUCUUUUGGGAAAUCAGAAGACGGUUGGUCGGCUUGAUUGUUUUCUGUCCUCACCAAGUCCCCUGGAGAGUUAUUCCUAAUUUACACCUUCAGAAUUGUAAGGCACCCUUACUUUAAAGAUUUCAAAGAUGAAAUUGCAUAUCCAUUAAGGAAUAUAAAGUAUAAUUAUAUAAUUUCUAGUGGAAAAAAAGAAAGCAACUUCCGAAACGGAAUAAAAAUGCUUAGAUAAAAAUGUUCAUAGUCCUCAUUUCUGACGCCCUACAUGUAGGUAAAUGGAGCAUGCAGUAUAGUCUAAAUACUGCAAUACCUCCAAUCCAAAGACUGUCAUGUGCAAAACUUAAAUAUGCUAAGUGAUCAUUAGUCAGACUCCUCCUCAAUAUUUAUGUGUAAGCGUAUGUGACGGCCAUUCUUGACGUCAACUUGAUCACAUCUGGAGUUAACUAAAACUCAACUAGCUGGGUGUCAGGGGCCAUUUCUCUGAAGUGGAGAGGGAAAAAGAUAAAAGAAAAAGAAAAGACAAGUGUGCCUGUCGGGUAGAGUCAAGACAGGUCAGGGUCUGUUGGCAGACUUCCGGGCCUGCUAAGGCAUGGAACCAUACAGGGAGGUACACCUGAGGCUCACGGCGAGGGGCUGAAGAUUCUAUCGACCUUAGCAGAAGGAACAGGGAGGCUUCAGGAGGAGAACAGGUGUCUUGUGUGUAUACGUUACAGCAGUUGUUUCUGUUACCUUGUGGCCUCGCUUCCCACAGUACUGUGAAGUAUAAAAACACUAAGAAAAAU
rnacentral:lncRNA from 1 species